UUUACCCUGCGAUGUUCGUGUUGCACCGUGGAGUUUUGAGCCAACACCUAUACAAAGGGAGCCCAACCUCUGGGCGUGGCUUGCAGGCCCCCAUGGAGGGGAAGCAAAAAGCGUCCAGGGAGGCACCCACCUGCGGAGAGCGGGUUCAUUAAACACACGGUGAGCACGGCAUUUGUGGGGUUUUA
rnacentral:other from 1 species